UACGUCCAUAGCAUGAAACACCAGUUCCCGUACGAUCACCGAUGUUAAGCAACGUCGAGACUGGUCAGUACCUAGAUGGGUAACCGCUUGAGAUUACCAGUGGCCGA